UAGGCAUGGCUUAAGUACGGGUGUAAGCAUUUCUCAUUGUUCAGCAAGGAGUUUUCUCCCCUAAAGCAGGCCCAAGUAUGGGUGGAGUAGAGGUCCUCCCAUUUCUGAUCCAAGUAGAGUUCUCACAUUUUAGAUCUAAGUAGCUUCACUGUUUAAAAUGGGGAAUGGUCUUAACCAAAUGUUCUAAGGUAGAGUCUGAGAAUCUUUUAACAUUCACAAAUCUGAGAAAUUUCAAGAUUCACAGAUGACAAACUCCUUGAAGAAUGUUCUUUUAUCUUUCUUUGUAUGCCCAACUAAGCAUAGUGUCUAGCACAGAAGUCAGCACUGGUGUACAACGAGAAUGGGACGAAGAGGCAAUUGUGAUUGUUUUUUUCUACCCUCAAAAGACUUAUUUUUACAAUAUUUUUGCUUCCCCCCCUUUGAUAUCUCAUCUUAUUACUGCAAGGCAGUUUUAACAUAUUUAGUACACUCAAGUGUGACUGAUCUAUCAUUGGUGUAGAGAAGCGGUCGGUGGUUUUUGAAGGCCAUGCCAGUUGGAUCCAGGCUGGCACAAGGCUUGUCAAGCUAUAAGACUUUGAGUGCAGGACUACUGGUGGAGCUCAUUGAAUGUCAGCUGUCUUAAGAUCAGCUGGAUUAAUUUCAGAAAGGCUUAUCACCUGAGGAUUAGACAAGAGGAGGCAAAUGAGAGAGGUUACCUUAUGAAUAGUUAUAAGGAAGACCCACGAGGAUGAACUUCUGCCGUUUCAAAGUAUUGAAAAUAUGGUGCUAAAUGCAUGGUGCAUUUAGCACGGUGAAAAUAUGGUGCAGAAAAUGAAUGAACAAAAAAAUUCUUCCUACCAAAGUCCUUGGCACUGUCAAAUGAAUCAAGUUUGGAAAAGGCUACUAUUUCACCAGUAGAAAUGGCAUUAAAGAAGAGAUAUUACCAUUUGCUUUGCCAUUGUACCCUAAGGAAUGUUGGGCCUUUCCAUUUGACUGGCUCCUAAAACUUCCUCUCUGUGUUAUCCUUGUUCAUUAGAAUGCAAGCUCCUUGAGAGCAGCCAAUGUCUGGU
rnacentral:lncRNA from 1 species